ACCUGGUUGAUCUUGCCAGUAGUGAUAUGCUUGUCUCAAAGACUAAGCCAUGCAUGUCUCAGUAUAUGCUUGCACAUAGUGAAACUGCGACUGGCUCAUUAAAACAGUUAUAGGUUUACUGGUUGACCAUUUACAUGGAUACCUGUGGUAAUUCUAGAGCUAAUACAUGCCCACACACCUGACUUAGUGGAAGGGUUGUGCUUAUUAGAUUCAAAACCAAUACAAGCUUCGCUUGCUCCUUUGGUGAUACAUAGUGCUUGCAUGAAUUGCAUGGCGCCAGCUGGCUAUGCAGCUUUUAAGUUUCUGACCUAUCAGCUUCGGAUGGUAGGGUAUUGGCCUACUAUGGCAAUGACGGGUAACGGAGAAUUAGGGUUCGAUUCCGGAGAGGGAGCCUG
rnacentral:rRNA from 1 species